CCCAGACUCCUACGGGAGGCAGCAGUGGGGAAUAUUGCACAAUGGGGGGAACCCUGAUGCAGCGACGCCGCGUGAGUGAAGAAGUAUUUCGGUAUGUAAAGCUCUCUCAGCAGGGAAGAAGAUGACGGUACCUGACUAAGAAGCCCCGGCUAACUACGUGCCAGCAGCCGCGGUAAUACGUAGGGGGCAAGCGUUAUCCGGAUUUACUGGGUGUAAAGGGAGCGUAGACGGCAGGGCAAGUCUGGAGUGAAAGCCCGGGGCCCAACCCCGGGACUGCUUUGGAAACUGCCAUGCUAGAGUGCUGGAGAGGUAAGCGGAAUUCCUAGUGUAGCGGUGAAAUGCGUAGAUAUUAGGAGGAACACCAGUGGCGAAGGCGGCUUACUGGACAGUAACUGACACUGAGGCUCGAAAGCGUGGGGAGCAAACAGGAUUAGAUACCCGAGUAGA
rnacentral:rRNA from 1 species